rnacentral:lncRNA from 1 species
UCACAUCACUCAUUUCUAUGUAAACAAUUAAGCAUUCAUCAUUUUCUCUCACAUCCACUUUUCAUCUCUCUCUCUCUCUCCAAUAUCUCUAUCUCCAAAGAAAUAACUCAACAAUUUCUUUGUGAUAAUCAAGGUAUUUGUAUCGUAUGCAAAGCCCAAUCUGCAGAAGUUAAGAUGGCAUUUUCAUGUGCAUCACCUCGUAGCAUAUGUGUUAUCUCUUUGUGGAUCUUCCAACAACUCUAUAGCUAACACAAACAACCAGAUCUGACCUGACUGGUUGAUCUUCAAGACAUCAACAGUCUCGUCUAUGUUCCACACCCAAUUGAUAUGAUGUAGAUAUAGAUCAUCAAGGGGUCGCAAUGCUGACAUGAAUUAUCAUAGAGAUCCGUUGGGACUCGUUAUGGUUACACUUUUUGUUUAUGAUCAUAUCAUACCAGACAUGGUUUUUGUGGUAGUCAGAUAAUGGUUAACAAUCAAUUGCUCUUGCUGGUGGUUAUGCUGAUAUUCAUGAUCAAAGUGAAUGGUUUAUCUAUACAAAAGGGUAUAUAACUAGUCAAGUAAUCAUGUGAUUUAUAUAGUUACCCAUUCUGAGUUCAUUGUUGAUGGGUAACGUUGUCAUCUUAUCUUAUCUUAUAUAACUAAUCUUGGUUAAUUAUUUUGCUUAGUUCCACUAUUAGUGUUAAGUAAUGCGAAUUGUGCAUUCCAGUUUUAGUCCACACUUUUAGUUCUCAAGUAUUAUAUUAUUCAGUUUUGAUCGCAUUAUUUUACAUAACUUACGAUUAUACAAAACAAAAUAGAAGACUAAAAUUUAAUAAUCACAAUAUUUCUUGAAGUAUGUAAUUUGUUUGUAUGAUUUUGUUUGAAGAACAAACCCAUCACUAAAGAAAAAAAUACCAAAAUGAUAAACCAAUUAAUUACAAAGUUUUUCAAUUAUGUCGAUGUCUUUGUAAUAGAGUGACUAUUAUUUAUCACCUUCUAAAUUACACUACUCCCAAGCGUCUAUCAAAACGCAAUUGAAUAUGAGUCGCACAAAAUAAUUACUUUUAGUUCUAUAAAAUCCUAUCUUUGAGGAAUGGUUUACGAUCAAAUUAUUGUGUUUUUAUGUGUUUGUGUAAUAGGUUGAUGAAUAAUCGUAAUUCAAGUAGACUAAAGAUAAGCAAUAUUUCUCUUUCUACUUUUAUUUUAUUGGCUUUUAUUGUUGUCUUUUUUAUUUGGUAGGCAACAAACUCAAUAAGGAUGGUAGGAACAACCUUAAAUUCUUGGAUAGAUGGGUUCCAAAAUACAACUAUUAUAUUGCUUUGUGAGGCACUAAUUCGACUAAAUAUCCCAUUAAUACUACUAGAUUCUAAAUUUUAAAAUUGACGGUUAUCCUCUUGAAAUCGAUUUGGCUAAUUUAAUUUUGUCGCGUUCUUAAACAUUUCACCAUAAAGAGAAUACAACACAAAUUCAUUAUAAGCCACCGGCUUAUGUAGGAGGAGGGAUGACACGUAAUGUUAGGAAUAAUUAUUGGACAAAAAUAUUAUGCAUAACAACUUUAUGACAUAAGGGUUUUCAAAUAAGAGGGACCAUGAUUUACAUACACACCCAAAAUGUUUCAAAGCAUUAAUAGAUAUAUUCGAUUAAAUGGAAAAGAAUUGUCCGUGAUGUAUAUAAUUACAAUUUUUUUUUUU